UCGCACAUGCUGGAGUACGCGGAAGUUGUGGAAGAAAUGUUUGUUUACAACUCGAGAGCGUACUACCAAUGCUGGACUGCGUUGCUCGACCUGCGCGUUUAUUAGAAAAGUGGAGUUGGUGAGUACUGACUUAGCAUUUAGCAUUAGCCGCGCCUAUGGUUUAAAUGGGUCAGUAACAACUGAUAUUUUUUAAAUACAUUUCACUAACUGUGUUGGAUCACUGAACUGAAUUGGGUGUAUUGAUCAAUUGUAAUGCUGCUUUUGCUAAUUUAACAAAACUCUAACACUUGUAGUUUUUGGCAUUAUAUUGAUGAGUUUGAAUUCCUUGCCUAUUUAUAAUAGCAUUAGUGUUGUUUAGUUAAUUUUGAAUUGUGUACACAUGAAUUGGUCUCUACUGGCUUACAGUAAAGCAAGCAUUAUGAUUACAAAUAUGUUUUUUUGCCCUAUAUUUGGAAUUGGUCUUCUGAAAAUAAUUUCAAGUGUUUAUUAAUUCUAUGAGUUUUAUAUUUUGAAUUGAAUUACCCAAAUGAGCUUUUCUACCUUAUUCACCUGUAUUGAGAUGCACGUGAGUUUUGAAUUACCUUUUUGUCCCACGGAUCGCGGAUGGAGUAGGUGUCGCUGCUGAGACAAGACAAGAGCUGUUCUUGCAUCUCAGCAGAGUGAAGCUGGGAAAGGCUGCUCAGAUAGAAAUCUAAAAAAACAAAAACAUGUAAAGCACUGAGGGAUGCCACAUAGUUGAACCAAAGCAGUGGAGGCUCACCUCGCUCCAGUUUACGCAGCUCAAGUUCCGGAACAGUGUUGGCGCUCCUAUUUUUUGACUGGUUUGAAUGAAAAUGUUGUCCUCGCUCACAAGUGUCAGCUUCGUCUUCAUCGCUGUCGUUCACAAUCGCACUCCGGUCCGUUUUCUUCUCCUCAUCGUCUUCUCGCUCCGACGGUAGGAAGUCCGGAGGUUUGUUGGCGAAAUAAAGAGGCUCCUUGUAGGAUAUGUUCCAUGGGCUUCUGAGUCCCCCAACUGCAUGGAAAGGUUAAAGGUCAAGUUACCAUCAAUAACCCCGAGUAUAUUCCUGAGUAUCAAAGCACCUUGCUUGAGCGCUCUGGCCGCGUGUUCCUUCAUGUCACUGGCUGACGCUCUCUUGUUGGGAUCCUUCUGCAGUCCCGCCUUAAUCAAGUUCGCCGUGAGGGGGCCGCAGUCGGGCGGGAUUUCUUGGAGCGGCGGCGGCUCGUUGGCGAUCUGUUCACAACAUGGUGUCGCUUGUGAUCUUGAAAGGAGCGCUUGCAAGGCUGUACCUCACAAGUCUGUACUUAAGGAUAGCUUGUGAGCGUUUUUGCGACCCAUGUUGCAUGUUACCUUUAAGAAGAGUCGACAAGUGUAAUAUCUAGUCCAAGGUUGGCACCCGUUGAGCAUGUGCAGUAACAUGCAGCAGCUGCUCCACACAUCUGCUCUGUCUCCACGGGGUUCGCCUUUCACCAUUUCAGGGGACAUGUGCGUCUCGGUACCCUUCAGGUCUGCUUUCAACAAGAUGGCCAACCAACAGUGAGAAACGCGAUGAUGUCAUAUUUUUGGCAGUUCGCCUCGAGACCAUCCUACCUCGGGACCCGCUGAGACUUAGCCCGGCAGCGUCCAAUCUCUCGGCGUGGCCAAAGUCGCACAGGAAGCAGUCUCUGCCGUCCUCGGACAGCAGUACGUUGUCGGCUGAGGGACAAAAGAA